rnacentral:ncRNA from 1 species
ACCUUCGGGGCAGGGUGAAAUUCCCGAUCGGCGGUAUAGUCCGCGAGUCCUGCCAAGCUUGUGCAGGAUUGACCUGGUGUGAUUCCAGGGCCGACAGUGAAAGUCUGGAUGAGAGAAGGUU